CUUCCUUCUACAGGGAAGGUCUUCUUUGUUUAGGUUGGUACUUGGGAUCUUCCCUCCUUGGGAUCUUCCCUCCUUCUUCCUCUUUCCAUGCUGUAAUUGUCCACCGCAGACAUCCUUGUGCCAUGAUGGAGCCAAGGAGCGAAAUUCCUUCUGUGCUUGACUAGUUGGCAAAGACUGGAUAUUCAACAGUCGGAUGAGCUGAAGUGUUGAGGGUGAAAACAGAGUUAGAAAGACACAGGACUUCAGCGGGGUAGGGAUGAUGCUUCAGGGGUGAUGUCUGCUCUCUGUCAGGCUCUCCUGUUUCUUCACUCGUGUUUUGGACUGCCAUAGGAUAUUUCCCUUCAUUCCCAGCAGGUUUAUGGCCAGCAGGGCAUAAGUGCAGGUGCAACUGCAGACUCACAGAGGUAGUGUAUGAGAAGCCCAAGCAAAGCAGCAGCUCACUCCUGGAAGGCUGGAGGUGUGGAAAGAUCUCCUUCCUGAUACAGCUCAGCUCUUCCUGCACCAACCUGUUCCUUCUUUUUGUAAACCCAUCACUGGAGAGAUGCUUGGACAUCAAAACUGAGGGAAGUGCCCUUGAAGUUGCAGCAGGACAUGCCCAGAGCUUCAGUCCUUGUCCCUGCCCUGCGGGUUUUCGGUGGAAGGGAGGCAGCACAUCGUGGUGGUGUGUUCUCAUCUCCUGGGCUGCAAAGUCACCAAAUAACUCUCUUGUGUCUCCCAUCCUGAGCAUUGUUCCAGUGCCUGGCUGUGCUCCAUCAUGAGCCGUAAUGUCCCACACCACUGCAGGCUGCCCUGUUCUGAGUCCUGCUGUGUCCCAGGGAUGAGGACAUGGAUUGGAGACAGUGCCUGGGGCUGGGAGGAGCUACAGAAAUUCCAUGUUUGUUUCCCAGUGCUCAUGAUUGCAGGGGCUUUAUACCAGCAGAUGUGGCUGCAUGGUCCCUGUGCCGUUGGGACAAUUCCAAGGGUAAUCCAUCCUGACAAGGGUGAGGGCUGGGACAAGACACGUCUUUAAAAUUCCUGCAGAAAAUAUAAAAAAUCUUGCAUUUUAGGUUCUUUUGAUGCAGGUUUUUCUAGAAAACUCGGGGAGUAGCAAAGGGAAACAGGGAUCACUUGGGCUGCCCAGAGCCGCCACUACCUCUGGCACAUUUACACACUGGGUCCUUAGGACUGUGUGCAGCAAUAAAAGCAGUUUAUGACUCAGUAAUUACCCUGCAAAGACAUAUUUGCAGCAGAAGGUGAUUGCUGAUCUGGCUGCAUCUCCACUCCUGCCAUCAGAGUCCCCAGGGUAGCGCUGGGGAUGUCAGACCCUCCUGGGAAGGGUUUCCCAGUGGGAAAGUGUGGCAUUUUCAUGUCAUGCAGAACUCUGAAUGCAGCUGAUGCCAUAUCUCCUCAGGAAGGUUUUAAUGUCCAUGAGCCAUCCCACAGGGGCUGCAAAGCUGUUUUGCAUCCUGCCUUGCUGCUGGAGGAGUCUUCUCCAAAACCAGAAGAAAAAACCUCUGGGCAGGGUCUGGAGCUGCAGGAGGGACAAUUUAAGCUGAAAGAUUGAGAAUCCAAGGAUGGGGAGAAGGUGCCCAUUGCAGCCCAUUGCAUCAUCCCAUGUACGUGACAUGCAGCCAGGAUAAACAUCACCUGCUCCAGCACUGUCGGGCACAUGACACUGUGGAGUGAGCCCCAGCACCUGGAUUCUGUGCCCAUCCUCAUCCCAUCACCUGCUCCAGCACUGUCGGGCACACAGCACUGCAGAACAAGCCCCAGCACCUGGAUUCUGUGCCCAUCCUCAUCCCAUCACCUGCUCCAGCACUGUCGGGCACAUGACACUGUGGAGUGAGCUCCAGCACCUGGAUUCUGUGCCCAUCCUCAUCCCAUCACCCACUGCUGGUUCUGUACCCUCAGAACCUGGGACAGAGGGUCAGCAGCUGGAGGUCAUACCAGCAGCAUGAGGGCUGGAGGGAGGGCUGGAUCCUAACCCUCCUCCCUGCUACCAGCUUGGCUGAUUUAUUUUGCACAGUCACCAAAGGAGAAAACUUCCUGGGGACAGCCUGUUCCCUGGAUGACAGCAGAAACACGCAGCACAGCCAGUGUUUUAGCCCGGAUGUGUGAGUCCAGCCCAUGGCUGGACUAAUUAUUCAUUGUGUGCUGUUCCGGGCUAAUCACAGGGCAAGGUAAAUUAUCCCAGUCCACAGCAGAAAGGUGAAUUAUUUUCUCAAAGGCAUACACAGACACUGAAUAGUUUGCUAUGGACUCACCAAGAGAGUUGGGUUGGAAGGCAGCUGUAAAGCUUAGCUUGUUCCACUUCCUGCCACAGGCAGGGACACCUUCCACUAGACCAGGUUGCUCCAAGCCCUGUCCAGCCUGGCUUUGGACAGUUCCAGGAAUUAAAGUGGAGCUGUUGGAGCGAGUCCAGAGGAGACCCAUGAAGAUGUGGUGGGGCCUCCCAUACAUUUCGUAAUGCUUCCAGUAGGCACAGGCAUGUUUUCCACACCCAGAGCUGGGUUUCAUGCUCUUAGGGCCCCUCCAGCCUCAGUGCUCUGGCCAGAGCACGACAAUGCAACCCUUCUCCUUGGGCUGGGUGAAGCCAAGGCUAUGCUGGCAGUGCUCCAGCCAGUGGUGUUUAUUUCCACACAAGGAAAUGAGGAAAACCAAAUAUUUGUAUCUCAGGAAGGGAAUUUGCAGCCUUUAGCAUGGAAUCUUGCCUUCUAUUCCCUCCUCAAUCAUCUCAGACAAGCAGCAAUAACACAUGAAACACAGUUUCCUCUAUGUCCUGGAUUUUUUUCCACCUCGGGCUCCACCCUUGUCACAGCAGAGAUCCCUGCUGCAGCCCUGCUGUCUCCCCAGGCCCUUCUCACACCUAAGGAGCAUGCAGAGUGCAGGUGGUCUCAGCCAGGCAAAGGAGCUUUUGUGGGAGUAUCACCUGUGGCAGAAGCAGCCACAAGCACUGGAGAGGUAUUGGAUGCUGAAGCAGGGACUGUUAAAAGAGCAUAUGGAAAGCUUGAACUCACACAGCAGAGAAUCCUGGAAUGGUUUGGGUUGAAAGGAACUUUAAAGACCAUCUCACUACCCCUUGCCAUGGGCAGGGACACCUUCCACUAGACCAGGUUGCUUCUCCAAGCUCUACCCAGCCUCACCACACUCACAGGGAAGAAUUUCUUCCCAAUAUCCCAUCGAACCCUGCCCUCUGGUGUAUUCCAUGGGACUGUGGGAUUGCUGUAUUGCCAACAGGGAUGGAUUGAACAAGGAGCUAAAAAUACCAAAUGAUCGAUAAUGGCACCAUGAACCUGGGUUUUUUUGUUUUUUGGGUGGUUUUUUUGGUUUUUUUUAAAAAAAAUCUCUAUAUUGACAACUCAACCAAGUGGCUUCCUGUAAAGGCAGGAGGGAUAAUGGAGCUUGGCUCCCUGCCCACACACUGUGCUAGCAGCGGCUUCACCUGCACCCCUCUGUCCAUGGGGAAUGACAUGGUCUGCCCUGGGAGCCCUUCAUGGAUCUCCUACCUAGGGUGAUGUGGAAGGGCUGCUCUCCUCCCUGCUUUCCAUGCUGGUCCAGUUGUGGUGAGCAGCUGGGGGAGCUUGGUGCUGAAAUAACCCCUGGGCUGCACACUCCUGCCUGCUCCAUGCCGGCACAGCCCUGGGGGCAGCCGCCAGCCCUGGCCCCGUGCCUACUUCAUCCUGAUCUGCUUUUUCCUCUCAUUUUCACAUGUCCAGUUAUCUGCGGCAUUACAAGGAUUUGAAAAUGGCCUUGAGCUUUUUAAGCACUGCUCCCAAGAGGAUAUUUUUCCUAAAUCAAGAUUUGCGAAGGUAUUUGGGCAUUAGCCAGCCAGGGGGAUUUCCAGAAGUGUUGGAGCAACCAAACACCCUUUAAAUCUGCCUCCAUGCAGUGCAGGGUCGGGGCUGGAAGUAGCUGGUUCACAAGGACUUUGACCAUUUGUGGACAAUUUUUACAUCACCAGUGUCAGCAUGAGGGUUUUCCAAAGGCUGAUCAUCGAUGGAUCUCUGGAAAAUCACAGUGGAUUGGGAUCAGCCCUGAGGGUUUUGGCUGUACCGCAGUGUCUGAGUCCAGAGAAACUCAUUGUACCUCCAGCUCCUGCCAGUGCUGUUCCAUCCCUGUAUCCUGACUAAUCCAUGAUGUGGUGCUGGCAGUGGGGAAGGUGUCUGGUGCAGGUCUUGGCUCUGCUUUGGAAAGACAUGGAGCAGUGCAGGAAAGCCAAUCCCUGUUACAGCAUUCUAACAUCCCACUCAGUGGGGAAAAAGCCAUUGCCAUCAAUGUGGUGACAGCAAGGUGGGUUUUUCCUCUAAGUCCCACUAUCCCAAACACUCCCAGUGCCCAGCAUUCACCCUCUGCUCCUAAAAUGCAAGCUCCUCACACAGCCGGCACUCAGCUCCAAGGACCAGACACCGAACCCAGCCUAACCCAGCCUCUUCAGCACAUCCCCCAAGGGAGUACCCCAGGGCUGGAAAGCUGCUGGAAAGAACUGAAACCUGAAAAAACAGACAAUAAAUUGUUUUCUAAGUGG